GGCGUAGGCUAGCCCUUUAAGGCCCCCUACCUUCUUGGCUUCUUGCUUCAUUGUUAGUUGAAUCACGAUCUAUGGUUGAAUUGAAUCAUGAGGUUCUGAGAGAAAGAGUCGCCAUUUUUAGACCUUUCUAUUUUUGAGGUUUUGAAUUUUAAUGUUGGCUUAAUUAGCUGGAUUGCCACUUGAGGCAUUUCUUAGAAUGUGAUGGGUUCUAGUUGGUUUGGGUUGGCGGUUCGUGAGCUUGCUAUUAUUCUUGACUAAUUUUGAUGCUGAAAGACUUGGAAACGAUGCUGUCGACCACGUCGAGAAGCUGAGUAACAUUCUGCUUUUACAAUGGCACCUCUUAAUAAAAGGAACUUAAAAGCCAUCCAAUCUAGGGCUUCCAUCAAAUCGUGCAGGCUGCAUGCCAUGGAAGUCGCAUUUAACUUUGCUAUGAACAUCAUGAACACAUACACUAUUUGAAGCAUUUCGCCAUUUCCAAUGAUGCUGAAGAUUAAUUUUACUUCGGUUAUAGUUUCAUCAUUCAUUUUUACGUAGCAGUGGUGGUGCUGUCCAAUGUGGCGUGUUGUUGCAGCCUAUGGUGGUGAAAGAAAUCUGCAUCAAGUUGCUGUUCCUUGUGCAUCUAAGGUGCUGGUUUUGUGCUACAGAAGUGACAUCCAAUAUUGUUUGUAAUUGCUAUUUGUGUCUUUGCAGUUUACCUUUAUAUAUUGAGAAGGAACAAAAAAAAUAGUAAUACGGGGAGGUUUAUGU